rnacentral:snoRNA from 1 species
CCUGCACCUAGAGGCCUUUCAGGUACUGAUGCUGUGUCAUAGGUGCCUCUGUAGGUUGCAGAGAAGAGAAAGGCAAUGUCUAGGCUCAGCAUUCUGACCUAAGGACAUUUGAAUGAUUAAAUGUAGCUUAACAUU